CCUACGGGAGGCAGCAGUGGGGAAUAUUGGACAAUGGGCGCAAGCCUGAUCCAGCAAUGCCGCGUGAAUGAUGAAGGCCUUAGGGUUGUAAAAUUCUUUCGAUAGGGAAGAGAAUGACGGUACCUAUAUAAGAAGCUCCGGCUAACUCCGUGCCAGCAGCCGCGGUAAUACGGAGGGAGCUAGCGUUUUUCGGAAUUACUGGGCGUAAAGAGCAUGUAGGCGGCUUAUUAAGUUGAAAGUGAAAGCCCAGGGCUUAACCCUGGAACUGCUUUCAAAACUGAUAAGCUAGAGGAUGAUAGGGGACAGUGGAAUUCCUAGUGUAGAGGUGAAAUUCUUAGAUAUUAGGAGGAACACCGGUGGCGAAGGCGACUGUCUGGAUCAUUACUGACGCUGAGAUGCGAAAGCGUGGGGAGCAAACAGGAUUAGAUACCCUGGUAGUC
rnacentral:rRNA from 1 species